rnacentral:rRNA from 1 species
GACGAACGCUGGCGGCGUGCCUAAUACAUGCAAGUCGUACGCUUCUUUUUUCACCGGAGCUUGCUCCACCGGAAAAAGAAGAGUGGCGAACGGGCGAGUAACACGUGGGUAACCUGCCCAUCAGAAGGGGAUAACACUUGGAAACAGGUGCUAAUACCGUAUAACAAUCGAAACCGCAUGGUUUUGAUUUGAAAGGCGCUUUCGGGUGUCGCUGAUGGAUGGACCCGCGGUGCAUUAGCUAGUUGGUGAGGUAACGGCUCACCAAGGCCACGAUGCAUAGCCGACCUGAGAGGGUGAUCGGCCACAUUGGGACUGAGACACGGCCCAAACUCCUACGGGAGGCAGCAGUAGGGAAUCUUCGGCAAUGGACGAAAGUCUGACCGAGCAACGCCGCGUGAGUGAAGAAGGUUUUCGGAUCGUAAAACUCUGUUGUUAGAGAAGAACAAGGAUGAGAGUAACUGUUCAUCCCUUGACGGUAUCUAACCAGAAAGCCACGGCUAACUACGUGCCAGCAGCCGCGGUAAUACGUAGGUGGCAAGCGUUGUCCGGAUUUAUUGGGCGUAAAGCGAGCGCAGGCGGUUUCUUAAGUCUGAUGUGAAAGCCCCCGGCUCAACCGGGGAGGGUCAUUGGAAACUGGGAGACUUGAGUGCAGAAGAGGAGAGUGGAAUUCCAUGUGUAGCGGUGAAAUGCGUAGAUAUAUGGAGGAACACCAGUGGCGAAGGCGGCUCUCUGGUCUGUAACUGACGCUGAGGCUCGAAAGCGUGGGGAGCAAACAGGAUUAGAUACCCUGGUAGUCCACGCCGUAAACGAUGAGUGCUAAGUGUUGGAGGGUUUCCGCCCUUCAGUGCUGCAGCUAACGCAUUAAGCACUCCGCCUGGGGAGUACGACCGCAAGGUUGAAACUCAAAGGAAUUGACGGGGGCCCGCACAAGCGGUGGAGCAUGUGGUUUAAUUCGAAGCAACGCGAAGAACCUUACCAGGUCUUGACAUCCUUUGACCACUCUAGAGAUAGAGCUUCCCCUUCGGGGGCAAAGUGACAGGUGGUGCAUGGUUGUCGUCAGCUCGUGUCGUGAGAUGUUGGGUUAAGUCCCGCAACGAGCGCAACCCUUAUUGUUAGUUGCCACCAUUCAGUAGGGCACUCUAGCAAGACUGCCGGUGACAAACCGGAGGAAGGUGGGGAUGACGUCAAAUCAUCAUGCCCCUUAUGACCUGGGCUACACACGUGCUACAAUGGGAAGUACAACGUGUUGCGAAGUCGCGAGGCUAAGCUAAUCUCUUAAAGCUUCUCUCAGUUCGGAUUGCAGGCUGCAACUCGCCUGCAUGAAGCCGGAAUCGCUAGUAAUCGCGGAUCAGCACGCCGCGGUGAAUACGUUCCCGGGCCUUGUACACACCGCCCGUCACACCACGAGAGUUUGUAACACCCGAAGUCGGUGAGGUAACCUUUUUGGAGCCAGCCGCCUAAGGUGGGAUAGAUGAUUGGGGUG